AUGGGCGGCGACGCGACGGAGAUUGCCAUCCUCGAGAGCCAUGGGCCCCAGGAGAUGGCCUCGCUGCCGAUCCCCGACGAGCUCCUGCCUGAAAUCUUCCUCCGCCUGCCCACCCCCGCCGACCUCGUCCGUACCUCCGCCGCCUGCGUCUCCUUCCGCGGCGUCGUCACCGACCGCCCCUUCCUCCGGAGGUACCGCAAGAUCCACGCCCCGCCCCUCCUGGGCUUCCUCGACCUGAACGGAGUCUUCCACCCCGCCGAGCCGCCUCACCCCUUCACUUCGGCAGCAGAAGCCUUCGCCGACUUCAGCUUAUCCUUCCUCCCUGCCCCAGCCAGCGACUGGGCCAUUCAAGACAUCCGCGACGGCCGCGUCCUACUUGGCAGGCGCGGCGUCUUCACGGAGUUUGUGGUAUGUGAUCCCUUGCACCGGCGGCACAUCCUGCUUCCCCCAAUCCCUGAUGUCAACCAGUGGCUUCCUUCAGUGGACAACUCACAUAUCUUCCUCAUGGGCGGCGAUGAGGAUGCUUCGGACGAAACAUUUUUCAGAGUGAUAUAUGUGGCAGUCAACCAACAUAAGCAGGUCGCCUUGGUCUUCUCUUCCAGCACCGGACAAUGGCGAGCCACUCCUCCAUCAAUAGUGCGAUCACCUAACUCAUACUGGCUCCAGUGUGCGUAUGGCUGCUUGUAUGGGUUGACAGAGAGAAAUCAGAAGUUACAGGUGCUUGACACCCAGAGGAUGGUGUUCUCACUCUUAGACCUCCCGCCUGAAGCCAGAGCCGGAGGUUCUUCUUAUGUGCACAUAGCCAUUGUGGAGGCAGGGGAGGGCAUCAUUGGGAUGUUUGUGCUACCACAUAAGACAUAUGACCUCAGUUAUUUCAUUAAGAGAAACAACGGUGGAAGUUCCAGCCACUGGCAGUUGGAGAAGACAAUCUCACUGGAUUCUUCUCAGUACUCUCUAAACAAGCAUUCAACAGGGAGGAAAUUGUUCCUAUACCAUCGGGGAAGCCCAUCGCUUGUUGCCGGCCUUUUCUCAAUGGACGUCAAGACAUUCCAGCUUCAGAUGGUGUUUGCCUGCAAAUAUUAUGGCAUGCUUUACCCACGGGCAUAUUACAACUUUCCACCAUUCUUGUCGACUCCAAUAGUAUCAAGUGGUACUCAGGAACAAGGUGUGGAGACGCCACAAGCUGAAGAAGAGCCCAUAGAUAGCCCUCAGUACGAGAGCAAUGUUAAUGAGGCAAAUGUUGGAAGUCCUGCCGAUGUAUCGAGGACUGGAGAUGGUACUCAGGAACAAGGUGAGGAGCUGAUAGAUAGCUGUCAUGAUGAGAGAAGUGAUGAUGCCGUGGAUGUUGGAGGUCAUGCUGGUGUAUGGAGGGCUGGAGAUGGUGCUGAUUGA
rnacentral:rRNA from 1 species